rnacentral:lncRNA from 1 species
CACCACUGAUCUGACAGGAGGCGGAGCUCAGGCAGUAAUGCGAGUGAUGGGGAGCAGCUGUAAAUACAGAUGAAGCUUCGCUUGCUCACCCACCACUCACCUCCUGCUGUGUGGCCUCGUUCCUAACAGGCCACAGCCUGGUACCCGUCCAUGGCCUGGGGGUUGGGGAUCCUUAUGCUAGAAGACAACAAGUGUAACCCAUGUGGACUCUAAGAAGCUAAGUGCUACCUCUGGUCACACAGUGGCUGACCGUGGAACCCAGAGCAGAGCUGAAGUUUAUGACUUUCUGCAUUUAUAUUCCUCUUAUAUGGCCUCUCCGAACAUAAAUGUCUGUCUAGCCCUUUCAGACAGGCAGUCCAAAUAAAACAUAAGCUGGAGAAAACCAAGCUUUGGCGUCACACCAGGUCUCACCCAUGAGAGCAUCCUGACUAGUAUUUCUCAUCACCAAGUCAGUUAGAUUGAAAGUUCAGUUGCAGUUAAGUUCCUCAUUCCCAGAUAUUCAACACACUAUGUGCCAGGGGCUCUGCUAGGUGAUGAGGAUAGCAAAGAUGAAUGGCAGUGGCCUUGACUGCAAGGACUUUGCAUGGUCUUUAUGGGAGACAAGCAAGAGGAGAGCACGGACAAAUGCUACUAUGGGAGCCACAGACAAUUACAGGAAGAGGGUCACUCAGCCCUCCUUCCUGCUUAGGGUUGGGGAAAGCUCCCUGGAAGAGGUGAGGUCUAAGCAGAAUUCAGAAUGUUCUAGUUGAGGAGAGGGAAAGAGGGCAGCCAAGAGAGGACAGGAAGUUCUGGAGCUGGAGGGCUGAGUGGGGCAGAUCUGGAAAGGUCUUCCACGCAGUCUGAACCUUAACCUAAAGGCCAGGAGAAGCCACAGCAGGGCUUCCAGCAAGCAGAGGACAAGGUCAAGACUGUGCUGCUGCAGAGAAAGAAGGAGCGGAGUCCAAUCCAGCAGGAGGCCGGGGGAGAGCUGGGAGGCCUGAACUAAGGGGACGGCAGUGGGCAGGGACAAGGAGGAGGAAAUUCAAACGAAAAAGAGGAGGGCGCGCAACUUGGAAGGAGUCAGAAGGCCUGGCUCUGAGCCCGGGAUCUCCGAUCAUUGGCUAGGUGACCCUGAGCUACUCCUAGUUACUUAAUCCCUACCUACUUCACAGGGUUGUUGGAGGAUUAACUGGGAUAACCUAGAAGGAAACGAAGUGCCCUGUGAAUGCUACAGACUGCAAAACACAGCGCCAUUCACU